rnacentral:rRNA from 1 species
GGACGGGUGAGUAACACGUGGGUAACCUGCCUGUAAGACUGGGAUAACUCCGGGAAACCGGGGCUAAUACCGGAUGGUUGUUUGAACCGCAUGGUUCAGACAUAAAAGGUGGCUUCGGCUACCACUUACAGAUGGACCCGCGGCGCAUUAGCUAGUUGGUGAGGUAACGGCUCACCAAGGCGACGAUGCGUAGCCGACCUGAGAGGGUGAUCGGCCACACUGGGACUGAGACACGGCCCAGACUCCUACGGGAGGCAGCAGUAGGGAAUCUUCCGCAAUGGACGAAAGUCUGACGGAGCAACGCCGCGUGAGUGAUGAAGGUUUUCGGAUCGUAAAGCUCUGUUGUUAGGGAAGAACAAGUGCCGUUCAAAUAGGGCGGCACCUUGACGGUACCUAACCAGAAA